UACGUAGGUGGCGAGCGUUGUCCGGAUUUACUGGGCGUAAAGGGCGUGCAGGCGGUUUGUUAAGUGCAGAGUGAAAGCUCCCGGCUCAACUGGGACGAGGUCUUUGCAUACUGGCAAACUCGAGGGAGGCAGAGGAAAGUGGAAUUCCCGGUGUAGUGGUGAUAUGCGUAGAUAUCGGGAGGAACACCUGUGGCGAAGGCGGCUUUCUGGGCCUUACCUGA
rnacentral:rRNA from 1 species